GAGCUGAGCAUGCAAUGCACACAGCCCCAGCACGGGCACCCGGGGUGGAGAAGCAAAUUCUUUGUGCAUCAAAUCAAUUCCCGGGCAAGUCAGCGCUUUACAGAGCAACAAAAUGUGCUGAAGCUUCUGGGCAACUAGAAGCUAUUUUAACCUCUGAUCAGCUGCUUCUCUGAGUGUCACAGUCUGGGGAGAAGUAAAGAUUUCCUCGAGAAGCCAAACGGACUUUUCUAAGCCAUGUGCUGGGCUGGAGACCUGAGAAGGCAGAAGCACACCAGGAGGCACCGGGCACUGACCGGCUUGCCGUGAACUUGGGCAAUCGCUAGCUUCGCGGGGCUGCACGUUCCUUGGCUGUGGAGAGUGGACGUGGUGUGAGGAGCCCUGCGCUGCAGCCCGCACGGAGUAGGUCCUCAGUGAGGAAGCACCAACCACGGUGAUGAUGGUGAUGACCGUGGAGCCCCAGCAAGAGGCCUGAGCCCUCACGAGUGUGAGGCCCACGAUAUCCCCCCAACCCAGCCAUGCCCACUCCCCUCACCUGGCUGCCGAAAAGGGUCACAGAACAGAUCCCAGCAGGCAUGCUCUUCCCUUCCUUCGGGUCACCCAGAGGGCGACCCAGCUCUUGCCCUUGGGCUGACCAGUUCAGAGGGCAGAUCCUACAUGCACACAGAGAAUGGAGAAGCCAGGCCACCAGGGGUUAAGAGAAGGCCCUGAAGGAAGCAGGGCCAAACAUACGGAACCACAUCAAGCCUGCAGUGGGGUCUCCCGACAGCUGCUUAGAAAAGACAAGCCCCUCCCCACUGCAGAGGGCGCAUGUGGCAGGGGAGCAGUUAAAAAAAAACCCAAAAGAUGUGACGCCAAGUGCUGAGCCCUGGAGCCGAGGAUGCCUCCGCUGGAGCAUCUAGGAGGAGGAUCCUUGGAGGAGGGGGAUCCUUGGAGGAGGGGGAUCCUUGGAGGAGGGGAACCCGUGAGGACUGCCUAAGUCUUCCAGGGAUCUGCCGGACAGAUGGAGGGCACUGCUCCUCUGGAGGGAUUUCGGACAUGCCCGGCUGCUCUCUGAUUUCCCCCAUCCUGCUCCACAAACAGUAGAAGCAAAAA